rnacentral:lncRNA from 1 species
GCUGUACGUCAUUACACCCCCCACCCCCAGAAGGUCUUAGCAAGCAGGGCUCCCCUCUUUAGAACAUCACUCUCUGAAGGAGGCAGCAGUGCUGAGGGGCAGUGCAGUGUCUUACAAAGGCAGGAAAGGCUUGAGGACCAAUGCUGUAAACACAUGGAAAUUAACGAAUGAAUAUCUCUUCUUCCCUGCUGGGUGCCAGCUCCCUUCCAAAUUCUUUAUUUGUAUCAUUUAUGUUCUAUCAAAGUAUCCUUUCUAGAAAUACACUAGACAACAGUGGUACAAUGUGUUUUAAGGCUUUUAAAGGGUGUAUCUUAACAAAGCCAGGUAUGAAGUAUUCCAGUAUUUUCCCUGUGUUGGUUUCAGAGCAAGGAACCAGUGGAGAUUUCACCGCUUUCAGGUGGAGCUGGCCUCUGAGGAGCGGUGACUAUGUGAUGGGUAAGUAUCUUAGUUAAUGUGGUUUUAUUCCUCCGGGGGUAGGAUUAUGCGGUCAUUUCAAAACUCACUGAGAACAUUCUCUGGGGCUUCAUCUGGUGGUUCUAGUGUUCUAUCUUGCACACUAAUUACAUUUUUGGAUUUAAAAUGCUCCUCUUUCGAGCAUUUGCCAGCAGCUGUUGAGGUUCAUGAUGGGUGGUGAGUUAUAACGGUUCUGAGGCCCUCUGGCCUCAUUGUGGCUUCAUCGUCCAGGGCUGGCUCCUGGCCCCCUCGAGGGACCAAGGGGACAUUUUAUGAGUGAGGUUGUGCACCAUGGUGAUAUUAACAUGUUAUGCAUGAAAUGUUGUGUGUCCCCCUCCCCCAAAUCCAUGCCCCAACCCCCAAUGUGAUGGUAUGAGGAGGUGGGGCCUUUGGGAGGGAUCAGGGUUAGAGGAGGUUCUGAGGGUGGGGUCGCCAGAUUAGUGAUGGGAUUAGUGCCCUUAGAAGAGCCGGGAGAGGCACCAGACCUCUCCUCCUUGGGAGCACACGGCACGGCGGCUGUCUGCAGACUCCUGUUAUCCUCACCAAGAAUGGAAUCUGUUGGCACUUGGAUCUGUGCUUCCGGCCUCCAGAACCGUAAGAGAUAAAUGUUAAAUAAUAAGCCACUCAGUCCACGGUAUUUUGUCACAGCAGGCUGAGCUCACGACGACAGCAAGCAUGAGGCUUUUUGUUGUCUUUGCUAUGAAAACUCACAAAGCUUGACUGUUUCUUUUUUUUUUUUUUUUUUUUUUGGUCUUUUUAGGGCCACCCUUGCAGCAUACGGAAGUUCCCAGGCUAGGGGUUGAAUCAGAGCUACAGCUGCCAGCCUACCCCUACACCACAGCCACAGCCACGCCAGGUCCGAGGCAAAUCUUCGACCUACUCCACAGCUCACGGCAAUGCCAGAUCCUUAACCCUCUGAGCGAGGCCAGGGAUCGAACCUGAGUCCUCACUCAUGGGUACUAGUCAGGUGUGUUACCACUGAGACAUAACGGGAACGCCCAAGAUUGACUAUUUCUCUGUUUACCUUUUCUGACCAUUUUUUAAAAAUCGAAGUAUAAUUGCAGUAUCAUGAGAUGGACCGCUCUCAAAUGUCUAGUUGGAUCAGUUUGGACUAUUGUCCACCCAUGCGGCCAUUACCUCUAUCAGUGUCUAGAGCACUGCCACCAUCCCAGCAUGGUCCCCUCUCCUCCUUUCCAGUUUGCUACUGGCCCUCUCUCAUGACCUCGUUGGCAACCACUCUCCGGCUUCCAGCACCAUAGAUUAGUUUUGCCUGUUCUAGAAUUUCAAAUGAAUGGAUUCCUCCAGCAUGUGUCCUUUGGGUCUGUGACUCUGUCACUCAAUGCGAUGUUUUUGAGAUACGUUCACAGCGUUGCAUCCAUCAGUGCCUUACUCCCUUUUAUCGCUGAGUGGUAUUUAAUGUUAUAAAUCGCCACAGUUUAUUCCUCCUCCUGUUGAUGGGCCUUUUGGGGUUGUUAUUGUAAAUAAACCAUUUUGCAUCUAUCUUUCUGCAGACAUGCUCUUAUUUUUCUUGGGGAAGUACCUGGAAAUGAAAUUGCUGCGUCGGAGGAGAUGAGGGCUCAACUUCAAACAAACUGCCAAACAGAUCUCUCCCGCGGUUGUGCCGUUGCCUUCCCUCCUAGCAAUGGAUGGAGUUCCAGUUGCUCUACCUCCUGGCCAACAUUUGUUGCUGUCCGUCUUCGUUAACUUUAGCUGUUCUCGUGGGUGUGAAAUGGCAUCACACCGUAGUUUUAAUUUUCAUUUCUCUGAUGACUCAUACAGUUGAGCAGCUUUUCAUAUGCUUACCAACCUUUCAUAUAUCUUUUUUUUGGUGAAAUGUCUGUUCAGCUCUUUUGGCCCUGCUUAAAUUUAAGUUAUUUGGGUUUUCAUGUCAUUUUGUAGGAGUUUGGCUAUUUAUUUCCGUAAGUGUCUUUUUCCCUGGUUACUGUCUAAAUUCCUGAAGCUAGUUUACCAAAUUUCUCUGCAGUGCUCACCACAAUUCUUUGUCCCAAUAACAGGUACUUAAUAUUUUUUGGAUUGUUGGCAAGGAUUAGGCUCUGCCUGUACAGUGGCACAACCUGUUGAUUUUAUGAAAACAAUUCAGUCAAGUCGACAUGUUUAAUUUUUUUUUUGUCUUUUUAGGGCGGCACUGCAGCAUUUGGGGGUUCCUAGGCUAGGGGUCCAAUCAGAGCUGUAGCUGCUAGCCUACACCACAGCCACAGCAAUGCCAGAUCCUUAACCGACUAAGCAAAGCCAGGGAUCAAACCCUUGUCCUCAUGGAUACCAGUCAGGAUCAUUAACCGCUGAGCCACAGUGGGAACGCUGAUGUAUUUAAUUUUUUGACUGCAUCUUUUACUUUUGAGGUUUUUUUAAAAAAAUUUAUCAUUGAUUUACAAUAUCAUGCUAGUUUCUGGUGUGAUUUAUAUGAUAUAUAUAUUCUCUUCAUAUUAUUUUCCAUUAUGGCUUAUUCAAUGAUAUUGAAUAUAUUCCCUGUGUUAGAGAGUAGGUCCUUGCUGUUUAUCUAUGUUGCAAUUUUCAGAUUUUGAAUUUGACAUUACUCUUCUCUAGUAUCUUGACCUUUGGCAAACAUUCAGUAUACUUAUUUCCAAAUGUUUAAAGCCAAUCUGGCAUCUACUUCUUGAGUUUGGAAACUAUAAUAAACUUUAUAGUUAAAGACUUAGGAAGAGCUGAAGUUUUCAUGAUAGGUGGUCUCUCCCAGAAGUUAAAAUAUUUAUAGUCUUGAAAAAUAGAACAUUAUGUACUAUCAUUGUAUGCUUUUCUCCUCUUCUGAAGUUUGUGAGUCAUUUCUUAACCAAGACCCAGAGCCUAAGGGGCAGAAGGAAAAAAUAUAAAUACUUUUAUUUGAACACAGAGGAGGAGAGUAUCAACAAAGAGGCUAUCUGAAGCUUUUAAAGUCUUGUCUCCCUUCCAGUUUUGUCAGCCAGAACAUUAUAAAUGCCUGUACUACUUUGAAAGAACACCUGCAAUGAUGUCAUCUUCAUCUUCUUAAAUUAGUUUCUAGGCAGCCUGGCCAGCUCGGGAAAGCCGGAGAAAUAUUUCCACUCCCAUCCAUUUGAACUUUGUCCCAGUCUCUUUGCCCUUGGGUAUUAGCUCGUGUUUUAGAGAAGCUCCUCAGACUGAUUUGCAGAAGCACAAUCUUCAUUCUCAAAAAUUAUAAACAAGCCAACAAAUGUAUGAUAUUUCACUGAUUGAUUUUAAACUCAAGUCCAUUCAACACAUCAAGACAUUUUUGGAUCUCAAAAGUCCUAUUUGCUUGUUGUGGAUAAUAUAGCAUAAAUGUAUAAAUGUAUUUCAUUUUCUUUAUCAAAAUGAAAAUGAUCUGAUAAUCCAUCUCCAUAAAAAUAAUUAUUAUUAAAAUCUCUUAGGUUUACUUGGAAUCUUUCUUAUUUUUAUUUUCCUGGAAUUUUAUAUCAUCUCUAUUCUAUAAAAAUGAAUCAUCAUGAAUAUACUCUUAUGGUUUUUUCAGAAUGAUUUUCACACAUCAUUACAGAUUUUUAAUGACUGUGCUUGUCUGUUUUUAAUGUGCUUCUGUCCAUGAUGUUUGUGUUGCAUCUCCAUCAAGCUUCAUUGUUUUCUUCAUGUUGUUAAUAACUCUUUUCCAUCCGUGAGAGUGCAUUUUCUGUUUGCUUCAUGUUGGUAUAUGGAGAAGCUGUUGACUGAGGUACAUUUAUUGCUUUUAAAAUCUGACUCUUUCGCCAAGCUUUCUUUUAAAUUCCAAGUAUUUCGGAGUUGAUUCUCUUAGGCGUGUAGGUUACCUAAUAAUAUCGUUGAUAGAGAAUACAUUUUUGGCCUCCUCUUUUCCAACAAUUAUAGCUCCUAGUUCGCUUUCAGAUCUUAUUACGUGAGUCAGAGCCUCUUAAGCAACAUGAAAUACUAAUGCUUGAAACAGACACGCCUGCCCUGGUUCUGAUUUUAAUUGGAAUAUCUUCAGUGAUUCACUAGCAAGGAAGAUGUUGGCUGUUUGGUUAUAUAAUUAUUAUGGUGUGAAAGAAGAAUCUUUUCAUCUCAGUUUUCCCUAAGGAUUUUUUUAAAAUUUGGGAACGUGUUUUGGGUGUUAUUUAAUGCCCUUAAAGCCACUAUUUAAAGUGAGUGCUCCUGACCUAAAGUAUUGUAACGUCAGAUCUCCUAACAUUGAACCCUUUUGCAAUCCCUGGUUAAGAAAGGCUUUCCUUGAUUAUGAUAGAAAAUUCCUUUGAGAUGCUAUUUAUGGAGUUCCCAUGGUGGCCCAGCGGAAAGAACCCCAACCAGUAUCCAUGAGGAUGCCAGUUCGAUCCCUGGCCUUGAUCAGUGGGUUGGGGAUCCGGCGUUGCAGUGAGCUGUGGUGUAGGUCACAGAUGCGGCUCAGAUCCAGUGUUGUUGUGGUUGUGGCACAGGCCAGUGGCUGCAGCCCCAAUUUGACCCCUGUCCUGGGAAUUUC